UACAGAGGUCCCAAGCGUUGUUCGGAUUCACUGGGCGUAAAGGGUGCGUAGGUGGUGAGGUAAGUCGGAUGUGAAAGCUCGGAGCUCAACUCCGAAAUGGCAUUGGAAACUACCUUGCUCGAGGGUUGGAGGGGGGACUGGAAUGCUUGGUGUAGCAGUGAAAUGCGUAGAUAUCAACUGGAAUGCCGAUGGGGAAGCCGUCCGGCUGGGCCUGUCCUGACGCUGAGGCACGAAAGCGUGGGGAGCAAACAGG
rnacentral:rRNA from 1 species